rnacentral:rRNA from 1 species
GACAUAGGUGGCAAACGUUAUCCGGAAUUAUUGGGCGUAAAGGGUGCGUAGAUGGUAAGGUAAGUUAGCAGUGAAAGCGAGGCUCAACCUCGUGGAAGCUGCUAAUACUGCUUUGCUAGAGUGCAGGAGGGGUUAACGGAACUUCCGUGGAGGGGUAAAAUCCAACGAUACGGACGGGAACACCGAUAACAGCGAAGGCAGUUAACUAUUCUGCUACUGACAUUGAGGCACGAAAGCGUGGGGAGCAAAACGG